rnacentral:rRNA from 1 species
GGGUCAGUAGGCUGGUCGUGCCACCGGUACGUACUGGUCUCACUGAUUCCUCCUUCCUGAAGAACCGUAAUGCCAUUAAUUUGGUGUUGCGGGGAAACAGGACUGUUACUUUGAAAAAAUUAGAGUGUUUAAAGCAAGCUAACGCUUGAAUACAUUAGCAUGGAAUAAUGAAAUAGGACGAUCGAUCCUACUUUGUCGGUUUCUAGGAUUGACGUA